UANGGGGGAACCUGAUGCAGCCAUGCCGCGUGUGUGAAGAAGGCCUUCGGGUUGUAAAGCACUUUCAGUUGUGAGGAAAAGUUAGUAGUUAAUACCUGCUAGCCGUGACGUUAACAACAGAAGAAGCACCGGCUAACUCCGUGCCAGCAGCCGCGGUAAUACGGAGGGUGCGAGCGUUAAUCGGAAUUACUGGGCGUAAAGCGCACGCAGGCGGUUUGUUAAGCUAGAUGUGAAAGCCCCGGGCUCAACCUGGGAUGGUCAUUUAGAACUGGCAGACUAGAGUCUUGGAGAGGGGAGUGGAAUUCCAGGUGUAGCGGUGAAAUGCGUAGAUAUCUGGAGGAACAUCAGUGGCGAAGGCGACUCCCUGGCCAAAGACUGACGCUCAUAUGCGAAAGUGUGGGUAGCGAACAGGAUUAGAUACCCUGGUAGUCCACACCGUAAACGCUGUCUACUAGCUGUUUGUGGCUUUAAGCCGUGAGUAGCGAAGCUAACGCGAUAAGUAGACCGCCUGGGGAGUACGGCCGCAAGGUUAAAACUCAAAUGAAUUGACGGGGGCCCGCACAAGCGGUGGAGCAUGUGGUUUAAUUCGAUGCAACGCGAAGAACCUUACCUACACUUGACAUGCAGAGAACUCUCCAGAGAUGGAUUGGUGCCUUCGGGAACUCUGACACAGGUGCUGCAUGGCUGUCGUCAGCUCGUGUCGUGAGAUGUUGGGUUAAGUCCCGCAACGAGCGCAACCCUUGUCCUUAGU
rnacentral:rRNA from 1 species